ACGGUACAACGAGUCGCAAGACCGCGAGGUUUAGCAAAUCUCUUAAAGCCGUUCUCAGUUCGGAUUGUAGGCUGCAACUCGCCUACAUGAAGUCGGAAUCGCUAGUAAUCGCGGAUCAGCAUGCCGCGGUGAAUACGUUCCCGGGCCUUGUACACACCGCCCGUCACACCAUGAGAGUUUGUAACACCCAAAGCCGGUGGGGUAACCUUUUGGAGCCAGCCGUCUAAGGUGGGACAGAUGAUUAGGGUGAAGUCGUAACAAGGUAAC
rnacentral:rRNA from 1 species